rnacentral:rRNA from 1 species
GAUCCAGACUCCUACGGGAGGCAGCAGUGGGGGAUAUUGCACAAUGGGGGGAACCCUGAUGCAGCGACGCCGCGUGAGUGAAGAAGUCAUUCGUGAUGUAAAGCUCUAUCAGCAGGGAAGAAAAUGACGGUACCUGACUAAGAAGCCCCGGCUAACUACGUGCCAGCAGCCGCGGUGAUACGUAGGGGGCAAGCGUUAUCCGGAUUUACUGGGUGUAAAGGGAGCGUAGACGGCAGCGCAAGUCCGAAGUGAAAGCCCGGGGCCCAACCCCGGGACUGCUUUGGAAACUGUGAAGCUGGAGUGCGGGAGGGGCAGGCGGAAUUCCUGGUGUAGCGGUGAAAUGCGUAGAUAUCAGGAGGAACACCGGCGGCGAAGGCGGCCUGCUGGACCGUAACUGACGUUGAGGCUCGAAAGCGUGGGGAGCAAACAGGAUUAGAUACCCGUGUA